GAAAAUUACGAUGCGUUCAUGCUUCUUCAAAUACCACAGAUAACUACUAAUUGAACUAAGAUGCGCUGUAGUCACACACACAUGAUUUACGUUUUAAAUCAAUCACAAAAAAAAUUGAAUCGCUAAAACAAUUAAAUAACAAAACUAUCUCUUUUUGUCAAUAAAUUAUUGCCUUACAAGGAGCUCAACGUCGCACCUCCUCAACACUUCGAACGUCUUCAACUGCAGUUGUGAUACUGGUUUCGGAGGAGUUAUAUCCGAUCGGCAGCUCCAAUUCUUUCAAGAAAACCAAAUUGAAUCCCACUGAGCAGAUUAUUUUUUAACCAAGGAGUGAUAAUUAGAAAAGAUGGUUUGUUUGAAGUGCAAGCAGGGCGGAGUGCUUUUCAUGUGCAAGAUAUGCAUGCAGGAAACGUGCAAGAAGUGUGAACAAUGGGAUGGAGGCGCAAAGUCCGCAUGCCCCAAAUGCUUCGAGGAAAAUUCCAUGGUCCUCAAGGCUAAUUUAAAGCACGGGAAAACGACGAAGAGAGUGAACCAGAAAUUAGCACUUGCCGCUGCAUUCUCAAAAUGACCCAUUGCGCCCCCAGACAGCAAUUUGGCAUGACUAAUUCGAGACUGUUAGCAGAUGAAACUCACGCACGUGUACAAUACAUAAAACUGACUCGCUAUUGAACAGUUGCUUCAAUGUGUUCUGAUAUAGAUUAGUUUUUAUUCUGAUAAAACCAUUCAUUAUUUGAUAAAAAAAUUUUGCAUAAAAGCUCCAAAA